rnacentral:rRNA from 1 species
CCGGUAAAAGCCGGAGGAAGGUGGAGGAUGAUGUACAAGUCAGCAUGUACCUUUAUAUCCGAGGGCUACACACACGCUAACAAGUGGUCUGUACAAUGGGUAGCCAAGCCGCGAGGCGGAGCCAAUCCUGAAAGCAGGCCUCAGUUCAGAUUGCAGUCUGCAACUCGACUGCAUGAAGCCGGAGUUGCUAGUAACCGCAGGUCAGCAAUACUGCGGUGAAUACGUUCCCGGGUCUU